UACAGAGGGUGCAAGCGUUAAUCGGAAUUACUGGGCGUAAAGCGAGCGUAGUCGGUUAUUUAAGUCGGGUGUGAAAGCCCCGGGCUCAACCUGGGAAUUGCAUUCGAUACUGGAUAGCUAGAUUCGGCAGAGGGAAGCGGAAUUUCCGGUGUAGCGGUGAAAUGCGUAGAUAUCGGAAGGAACAUCAGUGGCGAAAGCGGCUUCC
rnacentral:rRNA from 1 species